rnacentral:rRNA from 1 species
GACGAACGCUGGCGGCGUGCUUAACACAUGCAAGUCGAACGGAAAGGCCCUGCUUUUGUGGGGUGCUCGAGUGGCGAACGGGUGAGUAACACGUGAGUAACCUGCCCUUGACUUUGGGAUAUCUUCAGGAAACUGGGGCUAAUACCGGAUAGGAGCUCCUGCUGCACGGUGGUGGUUGGAAAGUUUCGGCUGUUGGGGAUGGACUCGCGGCUUAUCGGCUUGUUGGUGGGGUAGUGGCUUCCCCAGGCUUUGACGGAUAGCCGGCCUGGGAGGGGGACCGGGCACAUGGGGACUGAGGGAGGGAGCAGACGGGAACGGGAGGCAGCAGUGGAGAGUAUGGCACAGUGAGGGGACGCGUGAUGCAGAGGCGCCGGGUGCGUGAUGACGGCCUUCGGGUGAUAAACCGCUUUCGCCUGAGACGAAGCGUGAGUGACGGUAAUGGGUAAAGAAGCACCGGCUAACUACGUG